rnacentral:rRNA from 1 species
CGUGCGCAUCUAUACAUGCAGUCGAGCGCAGGAGCCGUCUGAACCCUUCGGGGGGACGACGGUGGAAUGAGCGGCGGACGGGUGAGUAACACGUAAAGAACCUGCCCAUAGGUCUGGGAUAACCACGAGAAAUCGGGGCUAAUACCGGAUGUGUCAUCGGACCGCAUGGUCCGCUGAUGAAAGGCGCUCCGGCGUCGCCCAUGGAUGGCUUUGCGGUGCAUUAGCUAGUUGGUGGGGUAACGGCCCACCAAGGCGACGAUGCAUAGCCGACCUGAGAGGGUGAUCGGCCACACUGGGACUGAGACACGGCCCAGACUCCUACGGGAGGCAGCAGUAGGGAAUCUUCCACAAUGGACGAAAGUCUGAUGGAGCAACGCCGCGCGAACGAUGAAGGCCUUCGGUCGGAAAGUCUGGUGGAAGGAAGAACAAGUGCCGCAGCCAAUGGCGGCACUUGACGGUACCUUGCGAGAAAACCACGGCUAACUACGUGCCAGCAGCGCGGUAAUACGUAGGUGGCAGCGUGUCCGGAACUAUUGGGCGUAAAGCGCGCGCAGGCGGCCUCUUAAGUCUGAUGUGAAAGCCCCCGGCUCAACCGGGGAGGGCCAUUGGAAACUGGGAGGCUUGAGUAUAGGAGAGAAGAGUGGAAUUCCACGUGUAGCGGUGAAAUGCGUAGAGAUGUGGAGGAACACCAGUGGCGAAGGCGACUCUUUGGCCUAUAACUGACGCUGAGGCGCGAAAGCGUGGGGAGCAAACAGGAUUAGAUACCCUGGUAGUCCACGCCGUAACGAUGAGUGCUAGGUGUUGGAGGGUUUCCGCCCUUCAGUGCUGAAGCUAACGCAUUAAGCACUCCGCCUGGGGAGUACGGUCGCAAGGCUGAAACUCAAGGAAUUGACGGGGACCCGCACAAGCGGUGGAGCAUGUGUUUAAUUCGAAGCAACGCGAGACCUUACAACUCUGACAUCCCCCUGAACGUACAGAGAUGUGCUUCCCCUUCGGGCCAGGGUGAACGUGCUGCAUGGAUGUCGUCAGCUCGGUCUGAAUGCUGGUAAGUCCCGCAACGAGCGCAACCCUUGUCCUUAGUUGCCAGCAUUUGGUUGGGCACUCUAGGGAGACUGCCGGUGACAAACCGGAGGAAGGUGGGGAUGACGUCAAAUCAUCAUGCCCCUUAUGAGUUGGGCUACACACGUGCUACAAUGGACGGUACAAAGGGCAGCGAAGCCGCGAGGUGGAGCCAAUCCCAGAAAGCCGUUCUCAGUUCGGAUUGCAGGCUGCAACUCGCCUGCAUGAAGUCGGAAUCGCUAGUAAUCGCAGGUCAGCAUACUGCGGUGAAUACGUUCCCGGGUCUUGUACACACCGCCCGUCACACCACGAGAGUUUGCAACACCCGAAGUCGGUGAGGUAACCGUAAGGAGCCAGCCGCCGAAGUGAA